GUCUCAGGCCGUAUCAGCCUGAAGGCGCCUGAUCUCGUCUGAUCUCGGAAGCUAAGCAGGGUCGGGCCUGGUUAGUAUCUUGGAUGGGAGACCACUGGGAAUCCGGGUGCUCGAGGCU
rnacentral:rRNA from 1 species